CACGGAAGCUCACGUGUUUGGUUCCCGGGGCUCGGCCCAGGUCUUCUUGGCUGUCUGUUUCUGCCUGGCCCUGCAGCUGGCAGGUCAGCGGCUGCUUUUGGUCUUCAGGCACUCCAGGGAUGGCUGGCAGCAGACUGAAAGGACAGAGCAGGAGGGGUCCGCCUGAGUGGGUGAUGGUUUUGGGGCCGCGUCCUGCAAGCCGGAGCCAGGACCCUUGGCUGCAACGCAGCCUUCCCCACAGACAGCUCAGCGGCUGCCCCGUGGCUCUCCCCCGUGGGAUCCAGAGAGGGGCCAGCCCUGUGAGCUGGGGGGCUCCUGGCGUCCCCAUCCCAGCACUGUUGGGCAGCCAGAAACAGGGACCCUUUGGGGCUAGGGAAUGGGCUCUCGUUGGCUCAGUCAAUCACCCCCAUGCACAUGCCAAGCCAGAGCCUCCAGCCUCACCUGGACGUAGAGCUCUCCUUGCGCAGUAAGCUCCUUAUCCUUCGGAGUUUUCCUCCAUCUAGACUGUCCGAGCUCAAGCGUUUGAUGUAGGUUGGCUUGCCAGCAAAUCUCACUGGGAUUGGGAAGGCAGAGGAGACUUACCGUCAACCCUUUGGCUCACUCACCAGGGGCGCUCAGGCCUGUUCCCAGAACAUGCGUGAGGGCCGCUCUGCUCCCCCCACUGCUGACAUCUGUGCCGCCCGCGGACCCUCCCUGAAACCAUCUCUGGCCCCACUCCUCCUCUCUGCCAUCUUGGGACUCUCUUUUGGGAGUGCAUUAGUGACGGUGGCUUUGGGAAAGCGGAGCUGGGUGGUGACGAUGAGCUGACAGGGUGACUUUUGGGGACCAUAUCCUUUUGUUGGGGGAGGGCGGGGCCUAAGGUGCCGAGGUGCUCCUGCCAUAGCCAGGGAUGGGGGCACGUCACAGCCAGCGCCUUGGUUUUGGAGAGGCCAACAAUUCCUCGUGGGAAGAGGCCGUGCUGAGCUGGCGUGAAGCUUUGACCUUCUCAAGGAAGUCGUAAUAGAAUUUCAUGUGGAAGGUCAGUCCAUCGAUGUGGAGCACUCCAAUGUCCUUGAAGACAACGGCAACGUUCUCCCCAUUCUUCAGGCAGCCAGAGAGCAGGGACACGGUGCUUUGGAUGCAAGCCUGCGCUGUCUGCCAGGUCACAGAGGCAGCUGCGGCCACCUCGCUGCUCUUGAGCGGCUCCAGCUUCCUAUGGGCUGAAAAAUGGGAGGGACGGAGUUGAUGAUACGGUUGGUUUUCCGCAGUGCUUCCCUGGAACUGCUUCUUGUGGCCAUCAGCCAGAACGGCCCCAUGUUUGGCUGGGCUCCUCCGAGGGGGAGGUUUGCUUUGGAGAAUGGAGGCGGUGGCCCUGUUGGCCCUGUGCGUGAAGCCAGCAAAGCUUUAAUCCUCCCUCCUACCUGGCAGGGACUCCCUGCGGGGCUUGAGGUGGUGCACGGCUAUGAGGUUUCCAGACAAGUGAAAGACGGGCCACCGCAGAGUCACGGUCCCGUCCUCAGUCCUGAUGUCUCUGGAGAUGGUGUCAAAGGAUCCGAAGGUGGGAAUCCAGACCCCCUACAAGUGGUAGAGAAGGAAGGGCGGCAGGGUUAUGGGCCGGCUGGCUGGAGGAAGAGCCCAUGUAGCGGUCCAAGGCAGGGACGGAGCUCAGGAGCCCUCUCUCGCUGUUCAGAGGCACAAGCCAGGGCAUCGGGAAUGGCUUUGGGAAGGGGCUGCACAGUCCUCUCCUUCCCCUCACCCUCCCAAAUGCAGCACAGCAGUCAGGGCAGAAGCAGCCUGAUGGGAUCCAGAGGCUUCCCGCGAGCGGGAUCAGCCCUGAGACAGGACAGCGCCCAGCACAAGUGAUCCUGCGGGAUUUGCAGGAAGCCCAUGGCAUGCCCAGUAGAGACACG
ensembl:lncRNA